rnacentral:lncRNA from 1 species
UGGUUGCAGCACCUGGAAGAAGAUAAAGAUGAAUCUUCUUUGGUUGCGACACCUGAAAGAAGAUGAAGGUGAAUCUUCUCGGUUGCGACUCUUAGGAGAAGAUGACGAUGAAUCUUCUCAGUUGCAAUUCUUAGGAGAAGAUGAAGAUGAAUCCUCUCGGUUGCAACACAUAGGAGAAGACAAAGAUGAAUCCUCUCACUUGCGACACCUUAGAGCAGAUGAAGAUGAAUCAUCUUCGGUUGUUACACCUGAGAGAAGAUGAAAAUGAAUCUUCUCGAUUGCGACUCCUAGGUAAAGAUGAAGAUGAAUCAUCUCGGUUGUAACACAUGGAGGAAGACAAAGAUGAAUCCUCUCACUUGCGACACCUUAGAGCAGAUGAAGAUGAAUCAUCUUCGAUUGCAACACUUAGAAGAAGAUGAAGAUGAAUCCUCUUCGGUUGCAACACCUAAGAGAAGAUGAAGAUGAAUCUUCUCGGUUGCGAUUCCUAGGAGAAGAUGAAGAUGAAUCCUCUCGAUUGCAACACAUGGGAGAAGAAAAAGAUGAAUCCUCUCACUUGCCACACUUUAGAGCAAAUGAAGAUGAAUCCUCUUCGGUUGUAGCACUUGGGAGAAGAUAAAGAUGAAUCCUCUUCAGUUGCUACACCUGAGAGAAGAUAAAAAUGAAUCUUCUCGGUUGCGGUUCCUAGGAGAAGAUGAAGAUGAAUCCUCUCGGUUGCAAUAAGUUGAAGAUGAAGCAGAGGUUAAAGCUUUAGCAUUGUAUGCAUCUUCUUCAAGAGGCAGAAACGAUGUUACACUGUCGUUUUCAUCUUGGAGAGGCGAAGGCAGAGCUGCCCGAUCGUCGUCCUAUCGAAGUUGUACCAUCAUUAUCCUCUCAAAGAGUUGGAGCUGCAGCAUCGAUGAAGCCUUCAAACUUGAAUAUAAGGAAUCAUCAAUGAAACCUUUAUGCUUGAAUAUGAGGGAUCAUUAAUGACGCCUUUGAGCUUGAUUUUGAGAUUCUUUUUUUUUUCUUUUUACAUGCACUCAACUUGUACAUAGUCUUUGCACGGAGUUUGUACAUCUUCAAUUUAUUUCAUCUCAUUGUUACUAGAGAUGAACAUCUUGAAUUUAGGGAUUUGCCCCCAAUUUGUUAUGAUUCCUUAGUAGAAAUGAACACCAUUUGAAGAAAAGAAUUAACUCACAACGUAGUU